CUCUGAGCCAAUGGGACAGGGGCGGCGGGGCGGGGGGGCCGGAGGCCAAUGAGGGGGCCGGCGAGGCGGCGGCGGCUGCCUGUGAAAGUGUCGAGCUGGUGCGCUGGGGGAAGAGAGAAGAUGAGAGAGCAGCAUAAAAAAGAAGUGUUAGGAGCUGCUCUUAACCCUUUCAGAGUCCGAAGUCAAAAGGGAACUAGAGGGCUUGACGCAUCCUUUACAUCCUGCAUUUACUCUGACCACAGUCCCUCCCUGUUCUCACAAGUGAAGCUCAGCCCUGCUUCCCUUCUUGUUGAUUCCCAGUCAGCUACAUGA
rnacentral:lncRNA from 1 species